rnacentral:rRNA from 1 species
GAUGAACGCUGGCGGCGUGCUUAACACAUGCAAGUCGAACGAGGUCCAUGGAGCUUGCUCCGGAAGACCUAGUGGCGAACGGGUGCGUAACACGUGAGAAACCUGCCCCGAUCUCUGGGAUAACAGUUGGAAACGACUGCUAAUACCGGAUGCCGUCACACCGCUUCAUGGCGGAGUGCCGAAAGAUUUAUCGGAUCGGGAGGGUCUCGCGGCCUAUCAGCUAGUUGGAGAGGUAACGGCUCACCAAGGCAUCGACGGGUAGCUGGUCUGAGAGGAUGAUCAGCCACACUGGGACUGAGACACGGCCCAGACUCCUACGGGUGGCAG